rnacentral:tRNA from 1 species
GGGGCCGUAGUCUAGCCUGGCUAGGAUACGUGGGUUCAACCCGAGUGAUCCCGGGUUCAAAUCCCGGCGGCCCCACCA